rnacentral:rRNA from 1 species
UACGUAGGGUGCGAGCGUUAAUCGGAAUUACUGGGCGUAAAGCGGGCGCAGACGGUUCGUUAAGCAAGAUGUGAAAUCCCCGGGCUCAACCUGGGAACUGCAUUUGAAACUGGCAAGCUAGAGUCUCGUAGAGGGGGGUAGAAUUCCAGGUGUAGCGGUGAAGUGCGUAGAGAUCUGGAGGAAUACCGAAGGCGAAGGCAGCCCCUUGGGAAUGUACUGACGCUCAUGUGCGAAAGCGUGGGGAGCAAACAGG